UUUAACGUCAAAGGUAAAAUCAACCACUUUGUCCAUAACUCAGAUCCAUCGGAGAAGAUUAUGAGAGAUGAAAAACUCAAACGCUAGAUAAUGAAAUAUGCAUUACUAGCAUUUAAUUCUCAGGUGAGUCUAGCUGAAGAGAUUGAUGUUAAUGACGUCCUCUGAAAAUUAAUUGUUUGAGGAUGGAUGAAUGAGUAUUUUCAAAAUUUCUUCCUCCUUUUCAUGUUGCUGUUUAUGGUUUUGCCAAGUUCACAUUAAGUUUUGUUACAGGCUUGACGGUGCAACUUAUCAAUCAAAGCCUCAACAAAAAAGGGGCUAAACUUACUUGCUUAAAAUGAAUGUGUUAUUGUCAUUUUCCCUACGUAGGGCGCACAUUUUCAUUUAAACUAGUAUCCAACAUUUUGGCAACUGUUCCGUUUCUAAACUGUAAGUAACACUAUGUAUGUCACUCUUGGUUUUUUGUUUGCUUUUGAAGUUUUUUCUUUUUAUUUAUUUUUUUAUUAAAGUGCAGUUUAUUUACAGUGUUAAUUUCUGCAGUGCAGCAAAGUGACUCUCUUAUACAUACAUACCUUCUUUUUUAUGUUUCUUUCCAUUAUGGUUUAUCCCGGAGAUUGGAUAUUUUUCCCUGUGCUAUAGAGUAUCCUAUAUAGUAGGACAGACCCUAUUUAGUAAGAUAGAUCUUAUAGAGUAGGAUCUCUGUCGAUUCUAAAGGUAAUAAUUUGCAUCUGUUGACCCUGAACUUGGUUUGGAAGUCAGCGCUCUAGUUGAAUGUCAUUAAAGGGGCCACCGGAGGCGUGGUGCUGCUUUUAACGAGGAAAACCGUGAACUUUGAAAAUGGCUUCUCAACCCCGCAUUCACUUUUACUUGGUGUGUGAAAGCUGUUCUGUGUCCGUUUUUCUCUUAAUGUUUAAUAAAUACUAUAGUUAUGGAUAAUAGUACUUCAUAUAUAAUAGGAGAUCUCUGUAUAUUUUAUUUAUGAAUAUAUCAUGAUCAAUAAAUGCAUGUUUACUGGGUUGGGUUGGUACCAAAGGUAGGCAUACAUAUUUAUAUUUAGUAUAUAUUACUAUUAUAUGUAUGUAUAAUAAUCAAUAAGAAAAAUAGUUACAAUAAUUUGAUAUUAAAAUUUUAUCCAUGAUUUGAAUUUCAAAGACUCUGAAAAAAAUUACUUUUAAUAUGAUGUCUAAUAGACAUUGAAGGUGGUUUGGUAUUUAAAGAGAUUCUUUUUAACAUUGGUAGUAAAACCAGAAGUAAAUCUAUGAAGACUUUUCUAAAUAGUCUAAUUUAUGUGUAAUUAUAUAACAAAGGUGAACUUGCAUUUAUAUGAUACAUAUUUAAGACCACAUGACAUAAAACUGUUUCUGAAAUUAUAACAUUAUUUUAUGGUGGAGGGGUGACUGAUAAGGAUAAGUGCCAUCUCGUGGGAUUCUUUCUGAAUCUUUACAGAAACUUCGUUUGACCAUCAACAUUAUUGCUCUUGUCUCUCCAAAAAAUAUUCAUCAUCAGUUGAUCCAUAAUUUAUUUAAAAACAUGUGCUUAGUGGCAACUAAGCGACUAACUACACAUCCCAUAGCCAUAUUAUGCCUUAAUAAAUAUUCUGUAUAUUAAUUAACUACAUCAUAUAGUUCAUAAACAUGACGGAGUCCUUACAGUGUUAAAUUUAAACAUGGCACAGCCCACGAGUGUUAUACUGCAGUGAUAUUCUUUCACUUUUCAUUUGAACUAAUUAAAUAAU
rnacentral:lncRNA from 1 species